AUUGAACGCUGGCGGCAUGCCUUACACAUGCAAGUCGAACGGCAGCACGGGAGCAAUCCUGGUGGCGAGUGGCGAACGGGUGAGUAAUAUAUCGGAACGUGCCCAGUAGUGGGGGAUAACUGCUCGAAAGAGCAGCUAAUACCGCAUACGACCUGAGGGUGAAAGGGGGGGAUCGCAAGACCUCUCGCUAUUGGAGCGGCCGAUAUCAGAUUAGGUAGUUGGUGAGGUAAAGGCUCACCAAGCCGACGAUCUGUAGCUGGUCUGAGAGGACGACCAGCCACACUGGGACUGAGACACGGCCCAGACUCCUACGGGAGGCAGCAGUGGGGAAUUUUGGACAAUGGGCGCAAGCCUGAUCCAGCAAUGCCGCGUGCAGGAUGAAGGCCUUCGGGUUGUAAACUGCUUUUGUACGGAGCGAAACGGCUUCCACUAAUACUGGGGGCUAAUGACGGUACCGUAAGAAUAAGCACCGGCUAACUACGUGCCAGCCGCCGCCGUAAUAC
rnacentral:rRNA from 1 species